rnacentral:rRNA from 1 species
AGCAGCCGCGGUAAUUCCAGCUCCAAUAGCGUAUAUUAAAGUUGUUGCAGUUAAAAAGCUCGUAGUUGAAUUUCGGGAUCAAUAUGUUGGUCGUGCCUUGGUACGUACUAAUUUAUUGGUUUCUUCCUUCUGACGAACCAUGAUGUCAUUAAUUUGGUGUUAUGGGGAAUCAGGACUGUUACUUUGAAAAAAUUAGAGUGUUUAAAGCAGGCUCACGCUUGAAUACAUUAGCAUGGAAUAAUGAAAUAGGACGUUUGAUUCUAUUUUGUUGGUUUCUAGGAUCGACGUAAUGAUUAAUAGGGAUAGUUGGGGGCAUUAGUAUUCAAUUGUCAGAGGUGAAAUUCUUGGAUUUAUUGAAGACUAACUACUGCGAAAGCAUUUGCCAAGGAUGUUUUCAUUAAUCAAGAACGAAAGUUAGGGGAUCGAAGACGAUCAGAUACCGUCGUAGUC